rnacentral:rRNA from 1 species
ACGAAAGCGAAUAAGGGCGCAUGGGGGAUGCCUUGGCUCUCAGAGGCGAAGAAGGGCGUGGUAAGCUGCGAAAAGCUUUGGAUAGGCGCGAACGGCCGUUAGACCCAAAGAUACCCGAAUGGGGCAACCCGUUCCGAUGAAGUCGGAACAUCCGUAAAGGAGGCAAACCUGGGGAACUGAAACAUCUAAGUACCCGGAGGAAGAGAAAACAACAGUGAUUUCCUAAGUAGUGGCGAGCGAACGGGAAAGAGCCUAAACCGCUUUGCUUAGCGAAGCGGGGUUAUAGGGCUUAACAUGAUGCAGAUUAUCUGGAAUUGGAAUUACCUGGAAAGGUAAGACGAAGAGGGUGAAAUCCCCGUACAAGUAAAGCGAUAAUUUGUAGUUAAGUACCUGAGUAGCGCGAAGCCGGUGGAACUUUGCGUGAAUUAGCCGGCACCAUCCGGUAAGGCUAAAUACUCCUGAGAGACCGAUAGAGAAUAGUACCGUGAGGGAAAGGUGAAAAGGACCCCGCACAGGGGAGUGAAAAGAACCUGAAACCAUGCGCCUACAAGCGGUCGGAGCCAGUAAAAUGGUGACGGCGUGCCUUUUGCAUAAUGAGCCUACGAGUUACUGUUCACCGGCGAGGUUAAGUUACAGGGAGUAACGGAGCCGUAGCGAAAGCGAGUCUGAAUAGGGCGGAAAUAGUCGGUGGACGUAGACGCGAAACCUGCGUGAUCUACACAUGGUCAGGAUGAAGUUUCGGUAAAGCGAAAUGGAGGUCCGAACUGAUUAGCGUUGAAAAGCUACCGGAUGAACUGUGUGUAGGGGUGAAAGGCCAAUCAAACUGGGAGAUAGCUCGUACUCCCCGAAAUGCCUUUAGGGGCAGCCUUGAGGUAAAGUGUAACAGAGGUAGAGCUACCAAUUGGGCUAGGGGGUUUCAUCGCCUACCAACCCCUGAUGAACUCCGAAUGCUGUUACAUAUACUCAGGAGUGAGGCACAGGGUGCUAAGGUCAUGUGCCGAGAGGGAAAGAACCCAGACCAUCAGCUAAGGUCUCUAAAUGUGUACUAAGUUGAAAUAACGAUGUGAGACUGCAUAGACAGCUGGAUGUUGGCUUGGAAGCAGCCAUUCAUUUAAAGAGUGCGUAACAGCUCACUUAGUCGAGUGGUUUUGCGCGGAAAAUAAUCGGGCAUCAAGUACACUACCGAAGCUAUGGUAUUAACGGGAAGUUAAUAGGUAGGGGAGCAUUCUGACUGCGUUGAAUGGCAAGUGUGAGCUUGUUUGGAGCGGUUAGAAAAGCAAAUGUAGGCAUAAGUAGCGAUAAAGCGGGUGAGAAACCCGCUCACCGUAAGACUAAGGUUUCCUGAUCAACGUUAAUCGGAUCAGGGUUAGUCGGGUCCUAAGGCAAACCCGAGAGGGGUAGUUGAUGGGAAACGGGUUAAUAUUCCCGUACCGGCUUAUACUGCGAAGUGGUGACGGAGAGGCGUAGCGGCUGCGUACUGACGGAAUAGUACGUUGAAGACAGUAGGCGAUGAGACUUGCAGGCAAAUCCGCAAGUUGAGCUGAGCGUUGAUAGUACCGAGAGUCUUUGGACGAUUGGAUAAUGCCGUGAAGCGAACUUCCAAGAAAACCCUCUAAGCUAAAGGUAUAAGGCGCUCGUACCGUAAACCGACACAGGUAGUCGAGGAGAAUAUCCUAAGGUGCUCGAGUGAUUCACGGCUAAGGAACUCGGCAAAAUGGUCUCGUAACUUCGGGAGAAGAGACGCCUACCCUCUCAAGAGGGAGGCCGCAGAGAAUAGGUCCAGGCGACUGUUUAGCAAAAACACAGGACACUGCAAAGCCGCGAGGCGCAGUAUAGUGUCUGACACCUGCCCGGUGCCGGAAGGUUAAGGAAGGGGGUUAGUCGCAAGGCGAAGCUCUUGACUGAAGCCCCGGUAAACGGCGGCCGUAACUAUAACGGUCCUAAGGUAGCGAAAUUCCUUGUCGGGUAAGUUCCGACCUGCACGAAUGGUGUAACGAUCUGGACGCUGUCUCGGCCGUGAGCUCGGCGAAAUUGUAGUAGCGGUGAAGAUGCCGCUUACCCGCAACGGGACGGAAAGACCCCGUGAACCUUCACUAUAACUUUGCAUUGGAACUGGUUAAAUGAUGUGUAGGAUAGGUGGGAGACUGUGAGAUAGUGUCGUCAGGCAUUAUGGAGUCGUCCUUGAAAUACCACCCUUUGUUUAGUUAGUUCCUAACUUUUUGGAUAAGAAGGACAUUGCAUGGUGGGUAGUUUGACUGGGGUGGUCGCCUCCAAAAGCGUAACGGAGGCUUCCAAAGGUACCCUCAGCACGGUUGGUAAUCGUGCGAAGCGUGUAUUAGCAGAAGGGUGCUUGACUGCGAGACAGACAGGUCGAGCAGGUACGAAAGUAGGGUAAAGUGAUCCGGUGGUUCCGUAUGGAAGGGCCAUCGCUCAAAGGAUAAAAGGUACUCCGGGGAUAACAGGCUGAUCUCCCCCAAGAGCUCAUAUCGACGGGGAGGUUUGGCACCUCGAUGUCGGCUCGUCACAUCCUGGGGCUGGAGAAGGUCCCAAGGGUUGGGCUGUUCGCCCAUUAAAGUGGCACGCGAGCUGGGUUCAGAACGUCGCAAGACAGUUCGGUCCCUAUCUGUUGCGGGCGAUAGAAGUUUGCGGAGAUCUGACUCUAGUACGAGAGGACCGGGUCGGACGAACCUCUGGUAUGCCGGUUGUGUCGCCAGGCGCACCGCCGGGUAGCUAUGUUCGGAAAGGAUAAGCGCUGAAAGCAUCUAAGCACGAAACCAACUCCAAGAUGAGACUUCUUUUAAGGGUCGUGGAAGAUGACCACGUUGAUAGGUUGCAGGUGUAAAGCUGGAGAUAGCAAAGCCGAGCAAUACUAAUAACCCGUAAGCUUUCAUAA